AGUCCGUAGAGGACUUGGCUUGUAGAGGACUUGGCUGGGAACCAGAGGAAUGCAGGUUCAAGUCCAGCACGGACCA